rnacentral:lncRNA from 1 species
UAAACACCACAUUGGACAACACAGGUGUGAAAAUUCUCCAUCAUCGCAGAAAGUUCUAAUGGACAGUGCUGCUCCCAACAGAAAGAAUGGCAAAUACACAGGUCCUGAAGAGGCGGACAACAGAAGAAGUAACAAGGAGGAAGAUAAGAUGGAGUCAGACUUCAAGGAGGAAAUUGGAGAAAAUGCAUUUAAGAGAAAGAAAAAAUGAGGAUCAAUCAGGCUGAAGUGAAUAGUUACAAUUUGCCUACAGCCCGGCAUAACUACUAUCAUGAUCUAACUAUGGGGAAAAAUGUUUUAAAGUACAAUUUUCACAUAAAUCAAGUAGCACAUGAAGAGGAAAAAUAAACCUAAUAUUGCCUUUAGGAGUAUCCGCAUAUUAGUGAAGGACUAUGUAAAGGUG